AUUGAACGCUGGCGGCAGGCCUAACACAUGCAAGUCGAACGAGUGGCGGACGGGUGAGUAAUGGCUGGGAAACUGCCUGAUGGAGGGGGAUAACUAGUGGAAACGGUAGCUAAUACCGCAUACCAUCAGAUGUGCCCAGGUGGGAUUAGCUAGUUGGUGGGGUAAAGGCUCACCAAGGCGACGAUCCCUAGCUGGUCUGAGAGGAUGAGCAGCCAAACUGGGACUGAGACACGGUCCAGACUCCUACGGGAGGCAGCAGUGGGGAAGUUUGGACAAUGGGCGGAAGCCUGAUGCAGCCAUGCCGCGUGUGUGAAGAAGGCCUUCGGGUUGUAAAGUACUUUCAUCGGGGAGGCGUUACCCACAGAAAAAGCCCCGGCUAACUCCGUGCCAGCCGCCGCGGUAAUUC
rnacentral:rRNA from 1 species